UACGUAGGGUGCGAGCGUUAAUCGGAAUUACUGGGCGUAAAGUGUGCGCAGGCGGCCGCGCAAGUCGAGUGUGAAAGCCCCGAGCUUAACUUGGGAAUUGCGCUCGAAACUACGUGGCUGGAGUGUGGCAGAGGAAGGUGGAAUUCCAGGUGUAGCGGUGAAAUGCGUAGAGAUCUGGAGGAACACCGAUGGCGAAGGCAGCCUUCUGGGCCAACACUGACGCUCAUGCACGAAAGCGUGGGGAACAAACAGG
rnacentral:rRNA from 1 species